rfam:Schistosoma mattheei strain Denwood, Zambia genome assembly, scaffold: SMTD_scaffold0000602
GCACUGCUGAGGAGUCCCUUACCAGGACGAAACGGCCGUCAAGUGC